rnacentral:lncRNA from 1 species
CUAACUCGUAUGAGAUUAAUCAACUUCCUGGUGAUUCUCCACUACUUUUUGUAUCCAAAUCAGGCUUCCCACAUCGCGAUUCAUACUGGUCUGAUUAGAGUGACGAAGAAACUGUUAUAUUCCCAAACAUGAAAACUGGGAUCACCUGAUUUGAAAUUGAGAUAACUUCUUCAUCCUAACUCCUAUGAGAUUUAUUCAACUUCAUGGUGAUUCUCCACUACUUUAUGUAUCUAAAUACAGCUUCUCACAUCGCGAUUCCUCCUGGUCUAAUUAGAAUGACAAAGAAGUUGUCAUAUUCCCAAACAGGAAAACUGGGAUCACCUGAUUUGAAAGUGGGAUAAUUUUUUCAUCCUAACUCCUAUGAGAUAUAUUAAUCUUCUUGGUGAUUCUUCACUACUUUAUGUAUACUAAUCAAGCUUCUUACAUCGCGAUUCAUCCUGGUUUGAUUAGAAUGAAAAAUAAGUUGUCAUAUUCCCAAACAGAAAAAAUGGGAUCACCUGAUUUGAAAGUUGGAUAACUUUUUCAUCCUAACUCGUAUGAGAUUAAUCAACUUCCUGGUGAUUCUCCACUACUUUUUGUAUCCAAAUCAGGCUUCCCACAUCACGAUUCAUAUUGGUCUGAUUAGAGUGACGAAGAAACUGUUAUAUUCCCAAACAUGAAAACUAGGAUCACCUGAUUUGAAAUUGAGGUAACUUCUUCAUCCUAACUCCUAUGAGAUUUAUUCAACUUUAUGGUGAUUCUCCACUACUUUAAGUAUCUAAUUACAGCUUCUCACAUCACGAUUCAUCCUGGUCUGAUUAGAAUGACAAAAAAGUUGUCAUAUUCCUAAACAGGAAAAACUCGAAUCACCUGAUUUGAAAGUGGGAUAACUUCUUCAUCCUAACUCCUAUGAGAUUUAUUCAACUUCCUAGUGAUUUUCCACUAUUAUAUGUAUCCAAAUCAAGCUUCCCACAUCGCGAUUCAUACUGGUCUGAUUAGAGUGACGAAGAAGCUGUUAUAUUCCCCACAUGAAAAUUGGGAUCACUUGAUUUGAAAGUGGGAUAACUUCUUCAUCCUAACUACUAUGAGAUUUAUUCAACUUUAUGGUGAUUCUCCACUACUUUAUGUAUCUAAUUACAGCUUCUCACAUCGCGAUUCAUCCUGGUCUUAUUAGAAUGACAAAGAAGUUGUCAUAUUCCCAAACAGGAAAACUGGAAUCACCUGAUUUGAAAGUGGGAUAACUUCUUCAUCCUAACUCCUAUGAGAUUUAUUCAACUUCCUAGUGAUUUUUCACUACUUUAUGUAUCCAAAUCAAGAUUCUCACAUCGUGAUUCAUACUGGUCUGAUUAGAGUGACGAAGAAGUUGUUAUAUUCUCAAACAAGAAAACUAGGAUCACUUGAUUUGAAAGUGGUAAAACUUCUUCAUCUUAACUCCUAUGAGAAUUAUUCAACUUUCUGGUGCUUCUCCACUUCUUUAUGUGUCCAAAUACAUCUUCUCACAUCGCGAUUCAUCUUGGUUUGAUUAGAACGACAAAGAAGUUGUCAUAUUCCCAAACAGAAAAAAUGGGAUCACCUGAUUUUAAAGUGGGGUAACUUCUUCAUCCUAACUCCUAUGAGAUUUAUUCAACUUUUUAUUGAUUCUCCACUACUUUAUAUAUUCAAAUCAAGCUUCUCACAU